UCGCUUUCCCUGCCUUCUGCUCGUGUACGACCGACAUCGGGGUCAGCCCGUCACGUCGCAAUACAUAUACCAACCAUGAUAUAGCAACCAUCAAAGAUCGCAUUUGACAGUUAUGGCAAAGACCCACACCCUCCGCGCGUUCCAAGACGUGACGGUCGCCGACGAGAAAAAUCGUAUCGAUUGAAUCAGCGUCUCGGGGCCAUGGGAGGAUACCGGAGAUCGAUAUGACGGCAGCGGUGCCUUGGCGCUUCUGCACGAUUGCGCGGCCCGCGACCCCCGGGGUGCCGCGUCCAUCAAACAGGGAGAGUUAA
rnacentral:ncRNA from 1 species